CAAGAGAUUGGUUGCUGUUCUUGACAUAAGAUUUUACUAGAAAGCUGCAUUUUAAAUUUUCUGAAAUGCAAGAAUAAAAUGUCACCUGACUCUUCAGCAGUUUAAGACACAGUCCCUUUUCAGUGCACUUUCCCAGUAAAUAUUGAAGAGAAUUUUGGUGGCUGUUGUGUCACGACUCUAAAAAUGCUUCCUGUCAAGUCAUAGUAAAAUGUGUCUCUCAGUACCUCCACAGGUCCCUUUCCCAGUGUUUGUGAUGGUUUGUGACUCCACAGAACCUGGAGUGGGAAAGGGGUAGGGUGAAGUACCUGCUGUGGGUGGGGCUGUCACUGCUGGGGGCACUGGAGGAAGCUCAGCUGUUGUUUGUGUCCCUCCUCUGCUCCUGCCAGGCUGGAUGUGAUGGACAAAUGGUGCUUGAGCAAGGGGAGUUCACAGACUGUGCAAGGGUUGUUCUGGAAUGGCAGUUGUUUGGUGCAGUUUUAUUGGAGUGACAGACUGACAGGUGCAGUUAAAAAAUUAUUCGUGUCUUGAUCAUCUGUGUUUUUCUAUUUUCAGGUUUCAAAUGCCCACAAUUACUAAAAUAGAAAACAGGGAAGAAGAGCAGCACAACACUCUGGAGGUGAGGGUGAGUUACCUGGGUGUGGUCUGUGUGACUCCAGAGCUGUCAGGAACUUCUGAACCAGGGCUCUCUCUGGCUUUUAUUUCACAGCUGAGGGAGAGAAACUUCCUUGUUACAGAAAGGUCAGUCACAAAAACCAGAAGACAAUUUUCUCCUGCUCUUCAGUGCAAAACCAGACUCUGUUCAGACAGUGAGAGGUUAUCUAAUAACACUGCUGAUAAAGACAGUCAAAUAGGACAGACUGUGUAUUGUUGGAAAUAUGUGAAGUAAAUGCUGUCUGAUUUUUCUAAUUUGUUCCUGAAAAAAAUGUAGAAAUCUUGGUGGAACUUCCUGACAUUGAGGUGGGAAAUUAUCUCAAGCAAAGUGUUUAUAAGUAGCAUGUACAGAGCUGAGUAAAUGAGAAAAAUGUGUUUCUGUAAACUCCAGCAGAAAGCACUUUUAGGUAAAUCAGUUCCAACGCAACAGAAAAGAGGCGACAGCUGAGACCACAGCAAGUAACAGGUACUUUAUAAUGAAAAAUACUAAAUUUGCUUUUUAAAUAAAUCUGAUUUGAAAACAAAGCCCAGCCCAUAAAGGAAUGGCCACAUGCUUUACCUACUAGUCUAAUUCAACUUUCUAACAACUCUCUGUUGCUUUAUCUGUGAGUACAGUGUGUAGUUGUGACCUGUGCUCUGUAACAUUUACAGUGCAGAGUCUACAAAUACACCCCCAAGCCUUCGAGGGGCUGAGCCUGCUACCCCUCCAGUACAGCCACGUGUCCUGAGCAGCAAACUGGGCUUGUUUUGAACAGGUUGCCCGUGCCUCUCUGCUCCAGUGUGGGGAACAGGUGUGCUGUUUUCACUGGGAUUUACCAUCCUGCCAGCUGCAUAUGCAAAACACAUCAUUUGCCUAAUGGUGGCCUUUGUCAGGGAACUGUCCCACCACACCCAGGAACUCCUGUUCAGAGUCUGUGUCUGCCCUCAGGGGCAUUCCCUGUGUGUUUUGCUGUACCAGGGAGUUGAGGAAACACGGGUUGGUGUCACUGAGGGCAUGGUCACUGCCCUUGCAUGGCCGACACCAGCCCACAGUAACUGUGCCCAUCAGUAACUCACAUUUCUGCUCUUUGCAGCCUCUCCAGAGCCCUGCCCAGCACAACCACAGCGAGGCAUCCGUGCUCCUGGGGCACCUGCAGUCAGGACCCCUGCACAGUCAGGCACAGAUCACUUCAGGACUGGCUGAAGAACAGGAGUUAGUCAAGAAAAGCUGAAGUCCACAGAGGGAUGGCAUCCUGCUCUUCUGAGGGAAAAGUGAGUCCUCAAUGUGUUCCCAGCCCUUCUCACUGGCAGACUGAACCUUUUCUGGGUGCAGAGUAGCAGAAAGUAAAGCAGGUGGAGUGGCUGUAAACUCCUUCAAACAGCUCUGAUGGCCCAGAGGUUUCUUUCAGUCCUGAAAGAAACAAGCAGCUAGUUAGAAACAAACUUAGUUCUGUUUUAAAACAAAACUACCUGUUAUAAAGCAUCUUACUUGUUUUCUCCAGCAGCCUGAGUGUCUGAGGGAACCAGUGAGCCCUUCUUCUGUACCAAACUCUUUAUUUUUUAACUUUUUUAUUACUGUUUAAUUGCUUGACAUUUCACUAGGUUGCAAUGCAACUUGGUGAGUUUUAGGCAUCAGUAAUAAAACUCUGCUGUUUGCCAAUGACCUCUGCCUUUUACUUACUUAAUCCCACUGCAGGUAACAUACACCAGGUGUGUUACCCUUUGACUGUCUCUUGGUUGUAUCCCCCCAAACCACGCUGUUAACCCCCAUGUCCAUGUGCUGCUGUGUCAUUGCACCUGCAGGCACCAGAACACCUGGUUGGGGACCAGCACCUUGACAUUUCUCCAGCCUUGGACUUUAUUUUGAGUCUGGUGUAAGCAGACUCAGCACCACGAGCCUGUGCCCUGUAACAGAAAUAGCUUCUGCAGCCCUAUUUUCUGUUUGCACUCUGAAUCACUGCUUAAAGUGUCACCACUUUUCUGCAUUCCUGGGUUAGCCACGGCCCUGGCUCAAGCUGAGUUUCAGGGAUGUGGUGUUUAGUAUGUUUUAGUAAUAGCUUGGAGUCAUUAAUGCUGCUGAUUCAAAGGAGCACUGCCCACCCAAAACCCUCCUCACCUGAGAGCACAGCAGGGACACAUCCCUCCCACCUGCCCAGUACAGCAACACCCUCGGGACUGGUGUUAGAGCAACGCUGCUGCUUUUGUUCAAGAGUUGAAUUACCAUGAGAGCCUCUCUCAGCUACCAGUUUGGCCAAUACUUGCUUUGGAGUUAAACUGAACACUUGGGGAUUGCUGGGAGGGAACAGCCCCUCUCCAGGUUGAACGGGCAGGAUUAAGACAUUUGCAGGAACAGCUUGAUUAGCAGAGAGGAGAGGAAGGAGAACCCAAAGGAUGUAUUUUUCAGGAAGGUGAAUAACCACGUUACUUUUUAGUGAUGAUGGCUGUCACUCCAGGGGACUGACUGCCCGAUAACUUCUCGUGCUUCAGUCUGAAGAGCUCCUGAGAAAACCAACAGAAAACAUUCACAGGAAAUAAUGUUUUCUGAAGCAUCAGUUCAAUAAAGUUGCUACAAAAUAUUUGCAGAAAUUCCUCCCAGAGAACAGUCUGUCCUUCCAGAAGGCUGGCAGAGGAUUCAGUUAGAACAAAUCCUAACCCUGAUUCCUGAGCCAGGAGAGGACAAGUGACUACCCAGUGAGCUUCCACCUACACAGGACAUGGAGGUUUUAAUACACAACCUCUUAAAAGAGAAACAACUUGUAUUAUUUUACCUCUUGCUGUUGUUUAAUAAAGGCCUCUUUGUCCUCCAGCAUUGAUGUCAGUUCGUGCAGCCUCAUUUGCAGGUCACUGUUGCUCCCCUCCCUCCUGGAGAUGUCCUGCUGGAACUGGCAUAACUGGGACUGCAAAACAGGCAGGGAGCAGAGCAGUCAGGAGCGUGUGCUCCAGGCAGGAAGGGUGUAUUUUUUCAUUACCAGCAUGAACAGUAAGACCCAGUGAUUUCCAAUCAGAAAGCUGAGCAGCACAGUAAAUUCAGCAAGUGCUGAUUGGACUGAAUUCAACCCAGUAUCAGUUUAAUAGUUUAAUAACUCAGUCUUUUGACUAAUUUCUUACCUUAUCAGGACGCACAAGAUAACCCUUUAGGAAAGCCUGCUACUUGGACUGAUCCCUAAUUUCUACAUCUAACGAAUGUUGGGGUUUUUUUUAAUCACAGUUUUAUGUUCUACAGAAGGGUUUCUGAGCCAUCA